rnacentral:rRNA from 5 species
ACAACUUUCAGCAACGGAUCUCUUGGCUCUCGCAUCGAUGAAGAACGCAGCGAAAUGCGAUAAGUAAUGUGAAUUGCAGAAUUCAGUGAAUCAUCGAAUCUUUGAACGCACCUUGCGCUCCUUGGUAUUCCGAGGAGCAUGCCUGUUUGAGUGUCAUGAAAUCU